UUGGAGGGCAAGUCUGGUGCCCGCAGCCGCGGUAAUUCCAGCUCCAAUAGCGUAUAUUAAAGUUGUUGCAGUUAAAAAGCUCGUAGUUGAAUUUUGGGGUCAGUAGGCUGGUCGUGCCUCAGGUACGUACUGGUCUUACUGAUUCCUCCUUCCUGACGAACCGUAAUGCCAUUAAUUUGGUGUUGCGGGGAAUCUGGACUGUUACUUUGAAAAAAUUAGAGUGUUUAAAGCAGGCUAACGCUUGAAUACAUUAGCAUGGAAUAAUGAAAUAGGACGAUCGAUCCUAUUUUGUUGGUUUCUAGGAUUGACGUAAUGAUUAAUAGGGAUAGUUGGGGGCAUUAGUAUUCAAUUGUCAGAGGUGAAAUUCUUGGAUUUAUUGAAGACUAACUACUGCGAAAGCAUUUGCCAAGGAUGUUUUCAUUAAUCAAGAACGAAAGUUAGGGGAUCGAAGACGAUCAGAUACCGUCGUAGUCUUAACCAUAAACUAUGCCGACUAGGGAUCGGAUGAUGUUAAUUUUUUAAUGACUCAUUCGGCGCCUUACGGGAAA
rnacentral:rRNA from 1 species